rnacentral:rRNA from 1 species
GACGAACGCUGGCGGCGUGCUUAACACAUGCAAGUCGAGCGGUAAGGCCCUUUCGGGGUACACGAGCGGCGAACGGUGAGUAACACGUGGGUGACCUGCCCUCAGCUCUGGGAUAAGCCUGGGAAACCGGGUCUAAUACCGGAUAUGACUCCAUGACGCAUGUUGUGGGGUGAAAGCCUUGUGCGGCUGAGGAUGGGCCCGCGGCCUAUCAGCUUGUUGGUGGGGUGAUGGCCUACCAAGGCGACGACGGUAGCCGGCCUGAGAGGGCGACCGGCCACACUGGGACUGAGACACGGCCCAGACUCCUACGGGAGGCAGCAGUGGGGAAUCUUGCGCAAUGGGCGAAAGCCUGACGCAGCGACGCCGCGUGAGGGAUGACGGCCUGG